rnacentral:rRNA from 1 species
AUUGAACGCUGGCGGCAGGCCUAACACAUGCAAGUCGAGCGGUAGCACAGAGAGCUUGCUCUCGGGUGACGAGCGGCGGACGGGUGAGUAAUGUCUGGGAAACUGCCUGAUGGAGGGGGAUAACUACUGGAAACGGUAGCUAAUACCGCAUAACGUCGCAAGACCAAAGUGGGGGACCUUCGGGCCUCAUGCCAUCAGAUGUGCCCAGAUGGGAUUAGCUAGUAGGUGGGGUAAUGGCUCACCUAGGCGACGAUCCCUAGCUGGUCUGAGAGGAUGACCAGCCACACUGGAACUGAGACACGGUCCAGACUCCUACGGGAGGCAGCAGUGGGGAAUAUUGCACAAUGGGCGCAAGCCUGAUGCAGCCAUGCCGCGUGUGUGAAGAAGGCCUUCGGGUUGUAAAGCACUUUCAGCGGGGAGGAAGGCGAUAAGGUUAAUAACCUCAUCGAUUGACGUUACCCGCAGAAGAAGCACCGGCUAACUCCGUGCCAGCAGCCGCGGUAAUACGGAGGGUGCAAGCGUUAAUCGGAAUUACUGGGCGUAAAGCGCACGCAGGCGGUCUGUCAAGUCGGAUGUGAAAUCCCUGGGCUCAACCUGGGAACUGCAUUCGAAACUGGCAGGCUAGAGUCUUGUAGAGGGGGGUAGAAUUCCAGGUGUAGCGGUGAAAUGCGUAGAGAUCUGGAGGAAUACCGGUGGCGAAGGCGGCCCCCUGGACAAAGACUGACGCUCAGGUGCGAAAGCGUGGGGAGCAAACAGGAUUAGAUACCCUGGUAGUCCACGCCGUAAACGAUGUCGAUUUGGAGGUUGUGCCCUUGAGGCGUGGCUUCCGGAGCUAACGCGUUAAAUCGACCGCCUGGGGAGUACGGCCGCAAGGUUAAAACUCAAAUGAAUUGACGGGGGCCCGCACAAGCGGUGGAGCAUGUGGUUUAAUUCGAUGCAACGCGAAGAACCUUACCUGGUCUUGACAUCCACAGAACUUUCCAGAGAUGGAUUGGUGCCUUCGGGAACUGUGAGACAGGUGCUGCAUGGCUGUCGUCAGCUCGUGUUGUGAAAUGUUGGGUUAAGUCCCGCAACGAGCGCAACCCUUAUCCUUUGUUGCCAGCGGUCCGGCCGGGAACUCAAAGGAGACUGCCAGUGAUAAACUGGAGGAAGGUGGGGAUGACGUCAAGUCAUCAUGGCCCUUACGACCAGGGCUACACACGUGCUACAAUGGCAUAUACAAAGAGAAGCGACCUCGCGAGAGCAAGCGGACCUCAUAAAGUAUGUCGUAGUCCGGAUUGGAGUCUGCAACUCGACUCCAUGAAGUCGGAAUCGCUAGUAAUCGUAGAUCAGAAUGCUACGGUGAAUACGUUCCCGGGCCU